rnacentral:rRNA from 1 species
CAGCAGCCACGGUAACACCAGCAGCCCAAGUGGUGGUCGCGUUUAUUGGGCCUAAAGCGCUCGUAGCCUGGCCGGUAAGUUCCCCGUGAAAUCGGGUCGCCCAACGAUUCGGCUUGCGGGGAAUACUGUCGGUCUUGGGGCCGGGAGACGCCGAGGGUACUCCGGGGGUAGCGGUGAAAUGCUGUAAUCCUCGGGGGACUACCAGUGGCGAAGGCGCUCGGCGAUAACGGGCCUGACGGUGAGGGGCGAAAGCUGGGGGCGCGAACGGGAUUAGAUACCCCCGUAGUCCCUGUCUCUUAUU